rnacentral:rRNA from 1 species
GAUGAACGCUGGCGGCGUGCCUAAUACAUGCAAGUCGAGCGAACAGACGAGGAGCUUGCUCCUCUGACGUUAGCGGCGGACGGGUGAGUAACACGUGGAUAACCUACCUAUAAGACUGGGAUAACUUCGGGAAACCGGAGCUAAUACCGGAUAAUAUAUUGAACCGCAUGGUUCAAUAGUGAAAGACGGUUUUGCUGUCACUUAUAGAUGGAUCCUCGCCGCAUUAGCUAGUUGGUAAGGUAACGGCUUACCAAGGCAACGAUGCGUAUCCGACCUGAGAGGGUGAUCGGCCACACUGGAACUGAGACACGGUCCAGACUCCUACGGGAGGCAGCAGUAGGGAAUCUUCCGCAAUGGGCGAAAGCCUGACGGAGCAACGCCGCGUGAGUGAUGAAGGUCUUCGGAUCGUAAAACUCUGUUAUUAGGGAAGAACAAAUGUGUAAGUAACUAUGCACGUCUUGACGGUACCUAAUCAGAAAGCCACGGCUAACUACGUG